UACAGAGGUGGCAAGCGUUGUUCGGAAUUACUGGGCGUAAAGGGCGCGUAGGCGGCCCGCUAAGUCGAACGUGAAAUCCCCGGGCUCAACCCGGGAACUGCGUCCGAUACUGGUGGGCUCGAAUCCGGGAGAGGGAUGCGGAAUUCCAGGUGUAGCGGUGAAAUGCGUAGAUAUCUGGAGGAACACCGGUGGCGAAGGCGGCAUCCUGGACCGGUAUUGACGCUGAGGCGCGAAAGCCAGGGGAGCAAACGGG
rnacentral:rRNA from 1 species